UCGGUCAACAAUUGCACUAAUGAAAUUUCCACCGGAAAAACGUUAUAUUCUUCUUCUAUUCAAGAAUGGUGUUUUUGGCAAGCUGUCUACCGUUACGGAUGCAUCAGGCAACAAAAUACUGUUCCUCAGGGAUUACAGUGACACAGUCAGUGCCAUUGAAAAUACCCAAGAUCACAAGUCAGAUCUGAAAAUAUCACCCGUUGGCUACCUUAUUAAUUCUCUGAUAAGGGUCAUUCUGAAGUUAUCCUGGAUUAUGACAGUGAAACAGGCCUAUUGACCAGCAAAGCAGACCCAACUUCAGGGGGAGGUGCAACAUUCUUGUACCAUUACAACGAGUUGGAAGAGUGUAUGAAGUCAUUCUGCCAACUGGUGAAACACUUAAAUUCAAAUCCCACUUCUCGACAACAGAUGAACUCGAAGUGAAAGUCACAUCCCUCACUCAAUCACAAGUUGUGAAUAAUCUCACUGCUGAUUCAAAGCAUGGCUUGGUAUCAAAAUGGAAGGCCAUACUCAUAAGAAAAUCAUUCUCAAAGAUGGUUGGACAGGUGAUAUUGAAGCUAUUAACUAUCAAAAUGGCUCCUUUCCAUCCGCUCUCGGUUAUGGUGAGCAUAUCAAUGCUCUGCCCUAGCUCGGCACCCUCUUUUGGAGCACUCCUUACCACCGAGGCUGAGUUAUUACCUUUGUGGAGUCAUCAAUCAGUAACUCGAGGUUCGCUCGUCAACAAACAUGUACUGGAAGUAUGGUCUUAUCGGCAAAGGCUCCACCAGCCAAAAAACUUAUUAAAGCAGUUAAAGUUAAUCGUAAGUUCAGUAGUUACAACAAUCUCCUUUUUCGAUUUUCUAUUAAAGUCAGUAUCCUACUCUGUUGUAGAACUUUUG
rnacentral:lncRNA from 1 species